rnacentral:rRNA from 1 species
UACGGAGGGUGCAAGCGUUAUCCGGAUUCACUGGGUUUAAAGGGUGCGUAGGCGGGUCUGUAAGUCCGUGGUGAAAUCUCCAAGCUUAACUUGGAAACUGCCGUGGAUACUAUAGACCUUGAAUGUUGUGGAGGUUAGCGGAAUAUGUCAUGUAGCGGUGAAAUGCAUAGAUAUGACAUAGAACACCAAUUGCGAAGGCAGCUGGCUACACAAAUAUUGACGCUGAGGCACGAAAGCGUGGGGAUCAAACAGG